GAACUGAUAAUGAGCAAGUAUCGAGAGCAGAUGUUCAGAUUGCUAAUGGCCAGCAAGAAGGACGACCCGGGCAUAAUAAUGAAGUUAAAGGAGCAGCACUCAAAGAUUGACAUGGUACAUCGUAACAGCUGCGAAGGAUUCUUCCUGGAUGCAUCUCGGCACAUCCUUGAAGCACCUCAGCACGGACUGGAGAGGAGGCACUUGGAAGCAAAUCAGAAUGUACACUAAAUCAAACAGUCAACUUUGGGGGUGGGUGGAAGUGGGGUCCAUUUAAAAAGUUGUUUUACUUUGACUUGCCCUUCAGAUUAGACCAGCAAAUAAAUGGAGUCA
rnacentral:lncRNA from 1 species